UCGAGAAUAAUUCACAAUGGGGGAAACCCUGAUGGUGCAACGCCGCGUGGAGGAUGAAGGUCUUCGGAUUGUAAACUCCUGUCAUCCGGGAGUAAGACCUGGCGGUAAAUAGCCGACAGGGUUGAUAGUACCGGAAGAGGAAGGGACGGCUAACUUCGUGCCAGCAGCCGCGGUAAUACGAAGGUCCCAAGCGUUGUUCGGAAUCACUGGGCGUAAAGGGUGCGUAGGCGGUUUGGUAAGUCAGAUGUGAAAUCCCGGGGCUCAACCCCGGAACUGCAUCCGAUACUGCCAGACUAGAGGACUGGAGAGGUGACUGGAAUUCUCGGUGUAGCAGUGAAAUGCGUAGAGAUCGAGAGGAACACUCGUGGCGAAGGCGAGUCACUGGACAGUAUCUGACGCUGAGGCACGAAGGCCAGGGUAGCGAAAGGG
rnacentral:rRNA from 1 species